ensembl:lncRNA
ACUAGUUAAUUGUUAAAGUUUUUAUACGUAUCUGUACAGCACUGAAGUUAGUUUAAAUGUAGUUUCAUGGCGGCGUGGCGGAGUGGAUGAGCUUCGCUGUCCUUUGUCACACUUUCAAAGGGGAAAUGGGUGGAGGAAUUGGAACGCCCCAAAUCCCAAAAUAGUAAAGUUAGAUACAAUGCAGAGAAGCGUGCUCAGAAUUUAAUACCGGCAUGGGAAAUGGGAAAGUUACUUGCAUGAAAGCAAAGCAUUUCCCAUGCCAGCAGCCACUGAAGAGUCUGUGUGUGCCGAGUGUGUGUGGUGAAGACAAGCGUUGAGUAAAAGUAUUUGUUUCACUGGAUGUGUUGACAUGCAUCAGUGAUCCAGAAUGCUUCUAUAUAAGGAAGCUGCUAAGUGUUUCACACAGUGUAACUUCUAACUAUCCUUUUAUCACUGCUAAAUUCGGAGGUUACAGUGGCUCCUGGAAGCUGUUUUUUUCUUUCCCCUACAUGCAGCAUGAAUUCUCCAAUAACCUUUAUGUGCACUUAGUAAUUUCCUGGACGGGCUGUAUCCCGCUUGCUGGAUGUUCCUGUUACUGCAAGAGCCAGGUGGAAAUUUGUGCCAUGACACAGUGGUGUUUUUAGAAGUGUUUUGAAAAUUAAACCUACUGCAUUUUUUUCCCUCGUCUUGUAAAAUCUCAGAGCUGUGAAAGCUUUAUUGGCACUUCUUUUUGACCAUGCGUGAUACAUCCACAGUACGAGCCAGCCAAUAGCAGCCUGGUUUUCAUAGCUUUACUUGAGCCAACAAAGAUCCUUUGUGUCGCUGGGGAUUAACUAUUCUUUCUCUGCUACAAAUCAGCACUUAAAAACAUCGGGGUUUUAUGUUUAAGUGGAUCUGCAGUACAUCUUAAUUCUGCAAACUGCACGAGGAACCCCCUGUGUUUGUAGUUUGGUUGCCAUUCAACACAGCAAGGCCGGAGUGUCCAGGUUGAAAGUAGUCAAAACCAUGGCUUUUGCUGUGCUUAAUUCUCCUCCAGCCAUCCUUAUGAUUGUUCUGGUAACACAUGCUCCCGAGGAUGAGAAGUGUGUAGGGCAGUGCAUGACAUACAGGCUAGGCAGUGCGUGUGCACUUUGGUGUCAUGAAAAAGUGCUAGAGUGCAUCUGUAUCUACGUGGAGAGAUAUAAACUAAGAUAAGCAUGAAAAGAAAUAGAAAUUGUGUAAUAUUAAAUUAAAGAUUGAUCAAGU